rnacentral:rRNA from 1 species
AUGGCCUGCUACCCCUGCAAUCCCCUUCCUCAUCUCCCUCCAAGCACCACCAUCAUCCCUGCUGGCCCUCUUCGUGUUCGUCGUGGCUAUGUGGUUCUCGGUGGAGAACUACCCAUGGUGUGCGACGAAUGGACCAUCGCCACCCUGGUUCCAAAAGUUUCUGCUAAGGAGUUUCAUGGCGCCAUUGCGCUGAUCAUCAACUACCUUGAAGGUCGUGGUUGGCGCAUCAACUACACAUCUCGCUGCGGUAUGGGUACGACUCUCAUCCAUUUCACCACUACUUGCUCUAGAGAUACAACCGUCAGUCUUAGUCUAUUUCAGAUCGGAGACUCUGUUUUGAGGGUUACUAAGCAAGACAUAGGAUUUAACUAUCAUAGCAUAGCAUUUACCCACAAUGUUUGGAUCUUGAUGGUGAACUAUCCUUUGGAGUGUUGGGAUGUUGGGGUUGUCAGCCGAACUGUGUCUCCAUAUGGUAAAUUUCUCAUCUGGAACAAGGAUCCUAGAGACAAAACAAGAAUUAUAGUUAAGCUGAGAGUUUUUAAUGUUGACACUAUUCCCAUUAACAUUGUUGUGCUUCGCAAUCUGGAUGAUGUUGGCUAUGGAGAUUCAUGGACAUGCCCUACCUACAUUAUGUCUAGAGAAUUGAUUGGGGCCGGGGGAGAUGAGGAUCCUCUUCCUCCUGAUGGUGGCAACCCACAUCCUCUGCCUCAUGUGCAUGAUGGUUUCUGG